rnacentral:rRNA from 1 species
GACGAACGCUGGCGGCGUGCCUAAUACAUGCAAGUAGAACGCUGAAGAGAGGAGCUUACUCUUCUUGGAUGAGUUGCGAACGGGUGAGUAACGCGUAGGUAACCUGCCUUGUAGCGGGGGAUAACUAUUGGAAACGAUAGCUAAUACCGCAUAACAAUGGAUGACACAUGUCAUUUAUUUGAAAGGGGCAAUUGCUCCACUACAAGAUGGACCUGCGUUGUAUUAGCUAGUAGGUGAGGUAAUGGCUCACCUAGGCGACGACACAUAGCCGACCUGAGAGGGGGCGCGGCCACACUGGGACUGAAACACGGCCCAGACGCCUACGGGAGGCAGCAGUAGGGAAUCUUCGGCAAUGGGGGCAACCCUGACCGAGCAACGCCGCGUGAGUGAAGAAGGUUUUCGGAUCGUAAAGCUCUGUUGUAAGUCAAGAACGGGUGUGAGAGUGGAAAGUUCACACUGUGACGGUAGCUUACCAGAAAGGGACGGCUAACUACGUG